GCCUUAGUAGCGGCGAGUGAAGCGGCAAUAGCUCAAUUUGAAAUCUGCCAACAGGCCGAGUUGUAAUUUGAAGAAAGCAAUUCUGGGUGUGUCUCUGCUCAAGUUCCUUGGAACAGGACAUCAUGGAGGGUGAGAAUCCCGUGAUGCGGAGGUUGCAUAUCUGUGUAGAAUGUUUUCGACGAGUCGAGUUGUUUGGGAAUGCAGCUCAAAGUGGGUGGUAAAUUCCAUCUAAAGCUAAAUAUUGGCGAGAGACCGAUAGCGAACAAGUACUGUGAAGGAAAGAUGAAAAGAACUUUGAAAAGAGAGUGAAAAAGUACGUGAAAUUGUUGAAAUGGAAGGGCUUGAGAUUAGACAUGGUGCUAGUGUUCCCGCUUUCCUUCGGGUUGGCGUUCUCACUGGUACCGGGCCAGCAUCAGUUUUGGCGGGAGGAUAAAUGGCAUUGAAUGUAGCUGCUUGCAGUGUUAUAGCCUUGUCAAAUACUUCCAGCCGGGACUGAGGACCGCGCAUUUGCUAGGAUGCUGGCGUAAUGAUCUUAAGCCACCCGUCUUGAAACACGGACCAAGGAGUCUAUUGCCUAUGCGAGUGUUUGGGUGUAAAACCCGUACGCGUAAUGAAAGUGAACGUAGGUUGGAGCCCUUYUGGGUGCACAAUCGACCGAUCCUGACGUUUUCAGAUGGAUUUGAGUAAGAGCAUAGUUGAUGGGACCCGAAAGAUGGUGAACUAUGCCUGAAUAGGGUGAAGCCAGAGGAAACUCUSGUGGAGGCUCGUAGCGGUUCUGACGUGCAAAUCGAUCGUCAAAUUUGGGUAUAGACCGGUUG
rnacentral:rRNA from 1 species